GUAUUUAGGUACCUAUUGAUCCAAGAGUAGAUGCAAGUGGCAAGCAUCCCAGCACCAUGAGGAGGUUGCUGAAGAAAGCUAAGUGCAGCACUUCUCUGUGAGGCUGGAGGACAGAGAAGUAUCCCAUCACUCCUUCUACUCCCUGGAGUUGGAAGAAAGCUGAACAUGUGUAGAUCUAAUGGGGAUCAGCAUUUAAUCUCAGGGGCAUUGGCUGUCCUUUGCC
rnacentral:lncRNA from 1 species